CAGUGUUUCCACCUAGACGGACAGUUUAGUUGUACAACAUGCUUACACCUAACACAUAUUUAGCCUAUGGCCAGCUUACAAUCUGUCUGUACUGUUUAAUUUAUACCAUUCUGUUAAAACCCACAGGCGUGAACAGUUACGGUUCAGUACCUAACCAUUUUUAUACUCUCCUUUCAGUGUAACCCUCUUCAGGACCUCCACUGGUCGCUGGUUCGUUAACCUCACGACUCCGUAAGAUGGGAUGACGGCUUCGUUUGGUCUUUCCUCCUAUCUCGUUACCAGGAGUCUCCUCAAGUUCCGCUCGCCAGAGACCGCAGUUACUGUUUCGUUGAGUUUCUGGAUGUUCGAGCUCUAUCUGGACUUGGAUGUCGCUUUAAGAAAGAGGAA